UACGUAGGGUGCGAGCGUUGUCCGGAAUUAUUGGGCGUAAAGAGCUCGUAGGCGGUCUGUCGCGUCGGCUGUGAAAACUCGGGGCUCAACUCCGAGCUUGCAGUCGAUACGGGCAGGCUAGAGUUCGGCGGGGAGACUGGAAUUCCUGGUGUAGCGGUGAAAUGCGCAGAGUAUCAGGAGGAACACCGGUGGCGAAGGCGGGUCUCUGGGCCGAUACUGACGCUGAGGAGCGAAAGCGUGGGGAGCGAACAGG
rnacentral:rRNA from 1 species